rnacentral:rRNA from 1 species
ACUGACACUCAGGGACGAGAGCCAGGGGAGCGAAUGGGAUUAGAUACCCCAGUAGUCCUGGCCGUAAACGAUGGAUACCAAGCCCUGCGCGUAUCGACCCGGGCAGGGCUGUAGCUAACGCAUGAAGUAUCCCGCCUGGGGAGUACGCUCGCAAGAGUGAAACUCAAAGGAAUUGACGGGAGCCCGCACAAGCGGUGGAGCAUGUGGUUUAAUUCGAUGCAACGCGAAGAACCUUACCAGGGCUUGACAUGCCGCGAACCCCCCUGAGAGGGGGGGGUGCCUUCGGGAGCGCGGACACAGGUGGUGCAUGGCUGUCGUCAGCUCGUGUCGUAAGAUGUUGGGUUCAGUCCCGCAACGAGCGCAACCCCCGUCUCUAGUUGCCCACAAUUCGGCACCCUAGAGAGACCGCCGGUGUUAAGCCGGAGGAAGGUGGGGAUGAGGUCAAGUCAACAUGCCCCUUUUGCCCUGGGCGACACACGUGCUACAAUGGCCGGGACAAAGAGAUGCGACCCCGCAAGGGCCAGCCUGACCUCGUAAACCCGGCCUCAGUUCGGAUUGUAGGCUGCAACCCGCCUACAUGAAGGAGGAAUCGCUAGUAAUCACCGGUCAGCCAUACGGUGGUGAAUCCGUUCCCGGGCUUUGCACACACCGCCCGUCACACUAUGGGAAUCGGCCAUGCCCCAAGUCGUUACCCCAACCCGUAGGGAGGGGGAUGCCAAAGGCA